CCUAAAUAGAAUUAACACUUUAACGACCAUGUGCACCAAAUUGGGGCACAGCAAAAUUAAUUUCACAGAUCUUGUGGUCAUAUUUGGGCACAGAUUAUGUGCUGUUGUAUUUUCGACUGUGGCUAUGUGAGAUGCACAGCUACAUUGAAGUGGCUCGGCGGAAUAAUCAUUUGCAUCAGGUUAUAACUUAUUUGACAUAUAGAAGUGUUUUGAGGUUAUAAAAAUAUUUAGAUUUUGACAUUCUGUUGUAAGUUGUGUUUGAUUUAUACAAUCAAUUUCAUCGUUUUAAUACUGAUUUAAUAAUGGUAAAGAAAGGUUUAGCACAAAAAGAAAUAUUAGAAAAUAGUGAUUUUUAUAACAAUGAUAGUUUGUACGGUACAAGGUAUGACCCAGAAGAUAGUGAUAUUGACUCUAAUGACAGUGACUUGGUACAUAAAAGGAGAGGAAAAUAUGUUUAUUCAGAUAAUCCUAAAAACAUCACCAGAGUCCCAUCAACAGAGCCAGUUCCUUCGACAAGUAGAUAUAUUGAAGAAGAGGUUGUGCUCGAUGGAUAUGAGUCUAGUUAUGUCGAAUCAGAUAAUAUUGAUUUAGCUGCUAAUAAUUCACGUAACACACCAGAUGUAAACAUUAAGUGGGAAACGACAAAUCCCCUUAAAUUGAAUAAAUUUACAUAAAAACAGGUAUAAAAUAUUACUGUUACUACAAAUCUAAGAACACUAACUACACCACUUGAUUUUUAUUAUUUAUUCGUUGAUUAAAAUAUUAUAGAUCUGGUUGUUCAGGAAUCAAAUAAGUACUAUGAUCAAAAAUUAGUUGAGGGUAUCAUUGCCGAAAAAAUUACAAAACAUUCUUUGAUUGCUAAUUGGAAAGAUUUAACGUUUACAGAGCUAAAAUAUUUUUGGGGCUGACUGUUUGGAUGGGUCUAGACAAAAAACCCAAAUUAUGCGACUAUUGGAGCAAUAACCUUUGCUAUAAAAAUGGUAUUACUACCCAAUGUAGAAUGAGCAGAAAUAGAUUUGAAUCUAUUCUCCAUUUUCUGCAUGUUGCUGACAAUGAAAAUUACAAUAAGGAGGUUAAGUUGUACAAAGGGCAUUUAUUGAAUUAAUGAAUACAAACUUUCAAAAAUGGCGUGUUCCGCAAGAAAAUGUAUGCAUAGAUGAGAGUAUGAUUCCAUUUCGUGGUUUACUUGGAUUUCAUCAGUAUAUUCCCAAUAAAUGUCAUAGAUAUGGUCUCGAAGUAUACAAACUAUGUGCUGAUGGUGGUUAUACUUAUACACUAAAAUUAUAUGGGGGAAAAUCAACUAGACCAUACUACCAGUGUUGCAACAGAUGUGGUAAUGGAACUUAUGGCAUCUUUACUAAAUAGUGGAAGAACGCUGGUAACUGAAAAUUUUUAAACAAGUGUUUCUUUCACUUACAAACUAAAUACAGCUAGUACUCACUUAAUUGGAACUCUAAGACCGAAAAGAAAAUUUAAUCCAACACUUGUUGUAUCUGCUAGGUUAAAAAGAGGAGAAAGGACUGCAUUGCAGAGCAACACAAAUGUAAUUGUAGGCAAAUGGAGGGAUAAAAGAGAUAUUUUGUUCUUGACCACUAAAGAUGUUCCAGAAAUGCAAGAUGUAGUUAUGAGAAGAGGCACUGUGAAAAAGGAAUCAAGUGGUACCGUAAAAUUAUUUUUGAGUUAUUAACAAACACGGCAGUUGUAAAUGCCCAUCUCCUUUUUAUUCAAGUCACAAGGGAGAAAAUGUCCAUUACACAAUUUCGUGAAGAACUGGUACUGGCUUUUACUAAAAUAGAUGACAGGACAUCACAACAAACAGAAGCUAAUCACUGUCUUAAAGAUAUCAAGCAACAUGGAAGGCGUUCAUCAUGUUACAGAGAUAUUGCUAAAAAAUUUGGACAGGCACGGGCUAUGACUGAUGCUAAAAAGGUGUCCACAAUCUGUAUUCCAUGCAAAGAUCUUAAUAAUUUUAUAUGUAGCAAAUGUUUUUUUUUGCUACUCAUACUGUUUCAGUAAAAAAGUAUGGUGUCCAAUUUUGAUACACAUGUGCCCUUACAAAGUCAAAUCGACUUUAACUCUACAGGACCGCGUGUACCAAAUAUAGACACAUAAUUAAUUUGCAGAAAAAUUUUUUAAUUUAUGUUAAAAGUACGUUUUUUAUAUUGUACACAUAUUACUAAAACAGUUUUUGAAAUAAAAUGUAUCUUAUCUGUAUGUAAAGUUUUACCUUAUUUACCCGGUCGUUAAAGUGUUAAACAUAUCGAGAUUAGAUCCCAAUAUUUUUCCAAAGUAGGCUAUUUAACAAAAUAACCUCCCCGAUGGAAUGGAAAAUGUGUUUACCAGAGUCUCUAAAGACGACUUGGUUAUCGAAACGUGAGUCAGAAAGUGUAAUUGUGAGCGAUAUUUGAAAAAUAGAUUAAAAGUUACGAAAUAACAGAAAACAUGCAUUCAAUUAAAAAAAUAGGAAGUUCUUGGAAUAAUCCAAUUCAAAGUGGGAAUUUUUAUAAAUGGUCUAUGUACUUAGGCUAUUAAUGAUGAGAAAUUUUAUUUUAUGAAUUCCAUGUAUAUAUCUAGGCGUUUCUAUUCUCCAGUAAAAUGUUAAUGAUAUUUCUUUAAAAACAACGUUAUUCACUGAAAUAUUCUACAAAACAAGUUUGAAUUCAUUUAAAUGAAACUAUCGAAAUGCCAUGUUUAAGCACGUUGAAUUUUAAUUAGAUAAUUAAUAUAAAAUGGAAAGUGGUUCAUACAGUCGUUUAAAGCUGUUGCAGUUAAUAUUUUCAUUUGAUGUGCAAGCUAUAACUAAUGUACAUAAAUCUAUUGAAA